rnacentral:rRNA from 1 species
AACGUAGGAGGCAAACGUUAUCCGGAUUUACUGGGCGUAAAGGGUGCGUAGGCGGCCAAACAAGUCAGGGGUGAAAGGCUACGGCUCAACCGUAGUAAGCCUUUGAAACUGUUUGGCUUGAGUGCAGGAGAGGAGAGUGGAAUUCCUAGUGUAGCGGUGAAAUGCGUAGAUAUUAGGAGGAACACCAGUGGCGAAGGCGACUCUCUGGACUGUAACUGACGCUGAGGCACGAAAGCGUGGGGAGCGAACGGG